UUUCGGCAGAAAAAGUCAGUCCUCAUGUGGGAUAAUAAAGGAAAGGAGAUAGGCGGACCAACGAUUCCAGCUUCUCCGUUGCAUGCGUAUGGUCCAUUUUCAUUAUUUUGUAAAAUAGGCUUCUUCACUUGCUAGAUAAUAGUAUCUCACAUGUAUGUUGCUCCUCAAUUUCUUACGGUAAACCAUUUUAUGCUUUAUUCUUUUAUUAAAAACUGCUUUAUUACUUGAGUUUGACAACCUAAGACAGAUCUUUAGGCUAAUCGUCACAUUAAAGGAAAUCUUGGGAUGUUGAUUAACUUGUAUGAAGUGAUAACAAUGUCACUUCCACAAUUAUUAUUAGAAAGAAAAUUAUGCUUUAAGAAUAUGAUUACAUGUACUUCAUUUGCUUUCCAAUUAAACUAAGUAGAAAAGGACAGUGGUGAGACAAGGAUUCGGUCUUACAUAAUAAUAAUAAUAGCAGUGGAUAUAGAACACAUUUUCAAAUAAAGCCGGAAAGAUAGAAGUUUCCUUUCUUAGAAGAACCGAUUUCAUUUUAGUCACAUGUCAAGCCCUUUAACUGCUAUCUCUAGUCUCUAGUUUUGAAAGAGAAGACUAUGAAGAAUUCAUAAAGCUAGUUGUGCCCUCUUUGAACAUGACUAAGCAUUAGAUCCAUCCAAUUGGUAUUCCCCAAAGGAAUUUUUUUACUUCUAUUAUGUUCUGGGUUUCACUAAGUCUAUAUGGAUUCGGAAAAAUUUAGUAUCUCGUUUUGGACAAUUUCCUUCCAUGAACUUUUCGGUUUGUAUUGUUCCUUUUGAAUUCCUUGGAUCAUCAUGGCCUCGCACCUACAUGCUACAAACAUGAGCUUUCGCACAUUAACUACAAGACACUGCAAUCUGACGUGAACUCUCAUAUGGAUUUUUCCUUGUUCCAGGCAUAAACAAUUAGUUUAACGAGCCCUCAUAAUAGAAGAAAUUGGCAUUCAGCAAAGGAUCGAUAAGACUCCACCUCAUUCGGAGUGCAGCCGAGUCUAUGAGUCAUCGUGUCAAAAGUUUUCUACACACUUAUGGGUAGGACGGUACCCUAUCCCAUUUGAUGUCAAAUAAUCUUAGAGGCUUUGUAGGCGGAGGUUCAUUUUGUGCAGUAUGUCAGAGGCCUUGACGGCCCAUAUGUUUUCAUGUUUUAAGAAUGAUGGUUCAUUAAUAUAACAUUUGCCAACUCA